rnacentral:tRNA from 1 species
GGAAGGAUGGCUGAGUGGUCUAAAGCGAUAACUUGCUAAGUUAUUAUAAUACUAUAUUAUCAUAGGUUCGAAUCCUAUUUCUUUCA